UUAGCGGCGGACGGGUGAGUAACACGUGGGCAACCUACCUAUAAGACUGGGAUAACUUCGGGAAACCGGAGCUAAUACCGGAUGACAUAAAGGAACUCCUGUUCCUUUAUUGAAAGAUGGCUUCGGCUAUCACUUAUAGAUGGGCCCGCGGCGCAUUAGCUAGUUGGUGAGGUAACGGCUCACCAAGGCGACGAUGCGUAGCCGACCUGAGAGGGUGAUCGGCCACACUGGGACUGAGACACGGCCCAGACUCCUACGGGAGGCAGCAGUAGGGAAUCUUCCGCAAUGGACGAAAGUCUGACGGAGCAACGCCGCGUGAACGAUGAAGGCCUUCGGGUCGUAAAGUUCUGUUGUUAGGGAAGAACAAGUGCUAGUUAAAUAAGCUGGCACCUUGACGGUACCUAACCAGAAAGCCACGGCUAACUACGUGCCAGCAGCCGCGGUAAUACGUAGGUGGCAAGCGUUGUCCGGAAUUAUUGGGCGUAAAGCGCGCGCAGGCGGUUUCUUAAGUCUGAUGUGAAAGCCCCCGGCUCAACCGGGGAGGGUCAUUGGAAACUGGGAAACUUGAGUGCAGAAGAGGAAAGUGGAAUUCCAAGUGUAGCGGUGAAAUGCGUAGAGAUUUGGAGGAACACCAGUGGCGAAGGCGACUUUCUGGUCUGUAACUGACGCUGAGGCGCGAAAGCGUGGGGAGCAAACAGGAUUAGAUACCCUGGUAGUCCACGCUGUAAACGAUGAGUGCUAAGUGUUAGAGGGUUUCCGCCCUUUAGUGCUGAAGUUAACGCAUUAAGCACUCCGCCUGGGGAGUACGGUCGCAAGACUGAAACUCAAAGGAAUUGACGGGGGCCCGCACAAGUGGUGGAGCAUGUGGUUUAAUUCGAAGCAACGCGAAGAACCUUACCAGGUCUUGACAUCCUCUGACAACCCUAGAGAUAGGGCUUUCCCUUCGGGGACAGAGUGACAGGUGGUGCAUGGUUGUCGUCAGCUCGUGUCGUGAGAUGUUGGGUUAAGUCCCGCAACGAGCGCAACCCUUGAUCUUAGUUGCCAGCAUUAGUUGGGCACUCUAAGGUGACUGCCGGUGACAAACCGGAGGAAGGUGGGGAUGACGUCAAAUCAUCAUGCCCCUUAUGACCUGGGCUACACACGUGCUACAAUGGAUAGUACAAAGGGUUGCAAGACCGCGAGGUGGAGCUAAUCCCAUAAAACUAUUCUCAGUUCGGAUUGUAGGCUGCA
rnacentral:rRNA from 1 species